GACGAACCGUGCAAACGUUUGUUCGGAAUCACUGGGCUUAAAGGGCGCGUAGGCGGCCUGCUAAGUCGAACGUGAAAUCCCUGGGCUCAACCCAGGAACUGCGUCCGAUACUGGUUGGCUUGAAUCCGGGAGAGGGAUGCGGAAUUCCAGGUGUAGCGGUGAAAUGCGCAGAUAUCAGGAAGAACACCAAUGGCGAAAGGCAGCUCCUCUGGGACGGUACUGACGCUGAGACGCGAAAAGCGUGGGGAGCGAACAGG
rnacentral:rRNA from 1 species